rnacentral:tmRNA from 1 species
GCGCUGGAAAUUGUCGCUCAGAACCAUUACAUUGGCCGUGCCGGUUUUCCGGCUAUGACGAUAAAUGACCUGUGUAAUAAGCCUAUCGGACCCGGGGGCGGUACCCGGCGCCUCCACCAGAAACCAUCCUUCGACAUCGGUCCGGAUGGCUUCUGACGGGGGCGAAACAGGAUCGACGAGGGUGUAAAGACUGCGUUUUCGUUCGGCAUGGUAGCCACCGUUAUCGGGCCAAUCUCAAUAGUUGCAAACGACAACUAUGCAGAGGCACGUCUCGCUGCCUAAUGGCGGUGCGACAGUCUCACCUAAACUCCUAGCGGGUAUGCUCUGCUAGGCGGGGUUCGGAGGCACCUUGCAACAGAAGCCUCCACU